CAGCUGCGGCAGCUCCGCCAACACCGACGCCGACGUCACCAGCAGGUACGCAACAUUGGAGCUCCGCCAACGCCGACGCCAGAUCCUUGGUUUGAUUUUGGUUGCAACUGAUCCAUCCCAUGUGAUUUGAAAGGUCGAACCUACUUGGAGCUGCUACACUCGCGUUUGUAUUUUCGGUUUACAUUAAUAAUUGUUGACACUUACUAACACCACUUGGAUACUAGGUUAUCAUCGCCAGCAUGGUGCCAGAGUGUACAAAGGUAUUUAUGAAUGUAAAGGCUCUCUAGAAAAUAAUCUAUUCUAUCCGCAAGCGCACAGAUAAAAUACCUCAUUGUAGCAUUUUACAGGAAAGUAUUACGGAUAUCGUUAUUUAUAAUUUUGCUUAAGAGAACAGUGGAGGUAAAAAUCUAUCAAGACAUAGACUAGAGAUAAACUUGCAAGAACAUGAUUACUAAUGAGAAACUCGUCACACAGUUACUUACUUUAGCAGGGGGUAAGUCAUAAUAAUAAUGAUAAUGAAAUAUAAGAUCAUGGGUAAAUAACACAACGAUUAGAAAAUAAACUACUCCUCAUAUAUGUAAGGUGACGUCGGAUUAGCUAGAGAAUAGAUUCUAAGUUACCUACUAUCUACUAAGUCACAAUCUACUCUAGUUAUCUACAAGAUCAUAUAUAGCAUAAAAGACUCUUCAUUCAUGUAUAAGGAACAUUGCUAAAGUAAAUCAGAACAUCACAAGACUUACUCCCCAAUACAAAUUCUGCCUGUCCUAUCAACGGAGGGUGGACUAUAUAAGAAUCAACGAAGCUGUCACCAUCGCGAACUACCACACGACCCGGCCAAUAGGAUACAUUUGUAGGUAAAUAACAUCUAAGCACCACGCCCACACGUGAUCUACCACUUAACUCCCGCGCGUCAAGAGCUAAGCGCUUUGCAAACUUAUAUAUAAACUCAUUAUCAAUCAUAACUAUAUCAAAUAUAGAACUAGAGAAAACUAAGAACAUAAUAAAUAGAGAUUAUUCUUGAAGAUUAAAGGCGGUGGAGCACGAUCCAGGAGACCUGCUCUGAUUGGCCACCAGAGCAGGGCAGGCGCCCAAGGGGAGAGGGCGGGCGCCCUGCCCCCGGGCCCGAUAGAAUUCUCGUUCGUUCCCGUGGUUUCUGGACUCUUCUAGAUUAAGGAAAAUUGCGCGGCACGUAAUUAUCUCGUUGUAAACCUGACAUGUGGACCUUCUCUCCAUAUUUUGUGAUAACCCCCUGUAGAAAUAGACAAGCACCAAAGCUCGUGGAAUUCUGUCAGAUAAAACCCUAAUUCUAGGUGUUUGGUGCAUAUUGAUCCUUUUCCAUGUUUAGUUGACGGUUAAAUUUAGUACUUAAGGACCGUCAACAAACUCCCCCAAGCUUACCCCUUUGCUCGUCCCUGAGCAAACAGCUAAACUCAAAUGGAUCAGAAGUUGCUUUGAUGUUUUCUUUCCUGACAGGCACACAUGCUUUCACAUAAAAAUUCUUCCAGAUUAAAGUGAAGUGUCAUGGAGCUUAAUACCUGCACUUAAGUCUUAAGUAAUUGAAAGACAAAAUAAUUAAGUCAAGCACUAUUCCUCCUGUCUAUACUUCACCUUUGUUCUGGAGUUUUGCAUAAGUUUUCAAAAAUAAAACUCAGAGUUCCCAGCUACGAUUCUCUCAAGUCUCUCUAUAUGUGGUAUUUGUGGAUCCUUACCAAAAAUGUCACUUACCCAUAGCUAAUGGAAUAUUCAAGUGGAGCUCAUAGGUGUGAAAAACAGCUCAUACAUAUGUUGUCUAAUCAAGCCAUGGAUCCAAAGGAACUCAGCAUACAAAUCAAGAUGUGCAUGUGUGGUGGAGUAAAUGACAGUGAUGGUAAAAAUGUAUAAGUGAUGGUAAAGCUUAUUUCUCAUUACUCCUCAUAUUGCUAUCUCUCCUCCUUUCUUGAUCUUUUGCUUUGGGAGAACAUGGGCUAUCCCCCCCUUUUUUUUCCAGGUGGGUAGUAAAUACCCCUAACUCUACUGUCGGACACUUGUCCAUUUUUUCCGCUCAGGUGGGCAUCUUUGUACCCCUAAUUCUACUCGAGAUACUUGUCCAUUUUUACCUCUCGUCUCACUCUUUUUCUUUCUUUUUCGAGGUUCCGAGCAGUUGCCCCUUUUUAUUUUCUCGCAUAUUUUUUUCAUAACCCAUGCCUCUUCUGCAUUUAAUCUUUUUGGAGAGAGAGAAUAACAACACUUGGGACAGUGAGUGAUAACAAUAUUUUAGCAGAUUUUUGAUGAAUGGUGAUGGAUGGUAUAAUAGAUGUGUGCAAGUGAGUAUCUUAAUUUAACCACAUGAAAAGUCCUAAGGGUCUACAUAGCUCGAUCAAACUCAAUGUGAAUAUAAGUAAAAGAUAUAGAAAUUGUAGCAAGUAUGGCUGUGGUAGGGAUUUUGUCAUGCUAGGAACUCUCAUGUGAUUUGCAAGUUUUCAAAAUAAAUCUCCAGAACUUAUAGUAGGAACAAGAUAAACAGUAGCUCAAACUUUAUAUUAUGCCUUUCUUUUACCUAGACUUUGGUUUUAGGUUCAUGCUUCCCACAGAUAGUAAAUUUUAGUUUUAGUAAUUCAUGGAAGAACUUUAAUAUAAAAGCUAGGUACUUGAAAGUAAGCAAACAGAGCAACUGUUCAUCAUUUCCAUCAUGCAUCUUUUUGGUCUUUUUAUUUUCUAGAGAUUAAACUUAGCAGGAAAAAUAAAGCACACUUGUCUACACACUCUUUUUAUUUUGUUUUCAUAUUUAUAGAAUGUAGUAAAUUAAAGCAAGAAAAUAUUUAUUGGGUUUUCUUAGUUUUUCUUAUAUAUAAUUAAGACAUUAGAAAAGAAAUGCAAAUAAAAACUUACUUGAUAAAAUGGGGAGGAACUCCCCCAAGCUGGAUGUGGUUGUCGGUCUUACCCAAUGUUCCAGAAUCGCAUCAUGGUGGUGAUGUUGUCAUUCAUUGUCGUGGUGUCUUGCCUCAGUUCUUGUAAUGCAGUGGUGUGGUCCUGGUUCCACUUUUGUUGCUGUUCCAGGAGUCAUCCAUGUUCUGCUUGCGUAUUCUGGAUGUCGAGGAGGGUGUUGUUGGUAUGGGUGAAGAAGGCGCCGGCCUCUUGGUAGUAGUCGUUCGUGAAAGCAUAAGAGGCAUCGGAGUAUCGUCCUGCAUCGAAUUGGGGCUAGGAUCCUGACUCUGAUGCUCCAAACAGAUCAGUGGAGUACCUGCCCGUAUGGAAAGGCGGGUUUGUCCACUGGUGAUCUUGGCCCUUCGGCCAUGUCUCCUGUUUUGGCUCCUGUGGUUGAGCAUGUCUAACCCAUGGGUCCCGAAGGACUCGGGGGUUGCAGUCGCAAUAAUGCAGGUGCGCUGCUUCUUCCGACCUGGGAUCAGCUCCAUAGCAGGUGCGUUCUUGAUGGGUGGUCAUCCUUUCAGAUGCCACUCGUUGUGGAGCUCUCUAGUUUAUCGGUGUCACUGCAAUCUCAAUCAAAUAAUUUUGAACAACAUAGAGGCCAAGGUUCGGUUUAGGUAACCGAAUCUUGCCUUUAUUAUCGUAUAACAUAUACAUUAUGUUCCCCUCUUUUUUCAACAUCCAAGCUUGCCUAAAUGUGUCAUAACCAUGAUAAAUUCGUAACUCGUCAAUGAAUUCCAAUGAUGAGUUUUCUAGCAAAUUAACAUUAGAGGCUAGACGAGUGACGAGUGAAGUACAACCGAUAGGUCCCUGAAGACUAGGUAUACUAAGCCAAUGAGAGACCAAAAGAGUAACAUGUGAAGUGGGUAUUUUAUUUAUAGCAGCAUAUAGAAGUUGCAAAUCUCAUACUCUUACUUUUCUAAUAUCAUCACGAUGGAAAAGAUUGUACCCGAGCCAUUGGUGGAACAUCCUAAGAGUGGGGUGUUCCAUGUCGCUGGUUCGGGCUUGGCUAUAAAACUCAUCUCUAGAUAUCUCUCUCCAGAAUUAGUGUCUUUCAAAAUUGGGUAAGUCGGAGUCAAUGUCCAAGAUGCAUCUCGAAGAGAAACCGAGAUGGUCGCUCAGUUCUCUCCAAGAUAACAUAAUGUUUUGUUUGAACAUCCGAAAAGCGAUUCCCCCUCAUAAUAUUGUAAAGUGCAAAGAAAUUCAAGGGUGAGAAGACGGGAACCCAGCUCUGUUAUGUUCCAAAAAUUUGUCCAUCCCACCAUCUGGAAAAUCAAAUCGAAUUCAGUAUCCAUACCUGUUUCUUGUAGCAAGAUAGGAUCAAGAGUGGGGGUGUGAAUGAAAUCCUUAUUCUUUAGCUGCUGGAAAACUUCCUUUUUCCUGCGGGUCUUCAGUCCAAGGUCUCCUGUCUUGAGGAGGACCUUGACUCGCGAAUCUGAUGAAGAUGACGGAGCUUGCGGGGGCGUCGGGUCGAUGCUCAUCUCUGACUGGUGCGAUGAGUGUCAGGACGAACUCCUCGUACCUAUGUUCUUGAAGGCCUUGCCCGCAUUCUUUACCUUUUUGAACAUCCUGCAAACAAAAGUUGACACAAACACAACGAGUGGAAAAUGUGAGAGAAAAAAUGUUAGUGGUCAGCUGUCCGAAAUGUCAGUAGUCCAGGGGUUAGUCGUUCAAGACAAGUUUUUAUUUUGGCAGCACCUCCCCCUAAACAAUUUUUACUUCCGCUCUAGACAGCGGGAUCACUACUUACUAGGUGAACCUUACUCUCUCACUAAAAGACUACCAACCUCCCUUUCACUCUUCUCUUUCUCUCCUCUACUCUCCUUCUCACUUCACUACAAGAGCUCCUUCUCUGGAAACUGAAACUUGCGUGGUUUUCUGGAAUGCUUGUGUGAUGGAGAUGGAGGCAGGAGGUGGCAAUUUUUAGGAGGAAAGGGGGACAGGGCGGGCGCCCUCUGUAGGUGGGCGGGCGCCCACCUUUGGUGGCCAUCCUGGCUGCAACUUUUCUAUUCCCUUCUUUGCUUGGCUCUUACGCAGAAUAAUAACUCAUGGGUGGUGGUUGGUUGGUGGAUCAAAUAAUGUGGUGGGAUGACAUGUGGGACCCAAGGAGUGUGGGUCCUGCAUCUAGAAGGUUGCUAUAAUUAAAUAUAAUGCAGUAAAAUCUAUGAGAAUUGAAACUUAUUGAAAUGAUAAUGGAAAAUAUUUUUGUGCCUCCACAAUAAUUAUUAAAUAUGGGUUGCCACACACCAUAAAUAUUAUUUAUAUGGGGCUUUUGAUUAUUAUAAUAAUGCUAUGAAUAAAUAUGGAUAAUGCAGGAAUUAAAUAUGAGAGAAUUAAUGAUGCGGAUAAAUACCAAUUUAUCUCCCGACGAGGGUUUGGGAUUUUUAGGUCCCCCAAGCUGGACCUCCAAAUCUUUUAAUCUUUUGAAUUACCUUCCUCUGAAGAUGGUGUCUCCAGUGGUUCUUCUUUAUGAACUUCCUUCACUGUAGAGUCUCUCUCUGGUUUGGGCUUGAAUGUGAAGUGUUCUUCAUUUCCGUUUAUGUUGAACUUGAUUUCUCUUUUUCCAACAUCGAUGUGGGCAUUGGCAGUGCUCAGAAAUGGCCUUCCAAGGAUGAUAGACACUUUUGAGUCGGGAUUCAUGUCUAGUACCACGAAGUCUACUGGCACAAGGAAGUCUCUUAUCUUGACUAGAAUGUUUUCGGCGAUGCCUAUCGGGUGUCGAACUGAUUGAUCUGCUAGUUGUAGGCACAUUGAUGUUGGUUCUAGGGUCGUAUGCUCAAGCUUCUUGUAGACUGAGGCUCGCAUCACACUGACACUUGCCCCGAGGUCACAAAGUGCAUUGUUGAAAUGUUGGUUUCCGAUUGAGCAAUCAAUAAUGGGGCAUCCUGGAUCCUUCUUCUUCCUUUGUGGUUUAUUGAGGAUGGCCGCACUACAUUCUUCUGUCAGCUUGAUAACCUCAGUGGUGGGCAGUGGUCUCUUCUUGUUAAGAAUGUCUCUGAUGUACUUUGCAUAUGUGGGUACCUGUAUGGCAUCAAGUGGAGGUAUGUUGACAUAUAAUUUCUAAAUGACCUCUACAAACUUACCAAACUGCUCAUCUGACUACAGUCCUCUGUUUCUUCUGGGAAAUGGCAAAUAGUUGGUGUCAUAAAAAUCUUUCCUCAUUUCUCGAGUACUUGGUGGUUGUAGCAGAUCUUCUGCUUCAACUGGGCUUUCUUCUUCUAUCACUGCUGGUUGCACUGGUGCUGAUGUUCUCUGUUUCUCUUUUGGGUAUGGGGGAUCCCUGGUGGUUUUGGCUCCUCUAGUAGUUAUGUUCUUUACCUGCUUAAUGUUAGUGGCAACAGGCAAUGCAGCAGCUAGCUUUAUUAAUUUAAGCUCUACCCUUUUAUUGAGAGUGUUUUGCUCAUCAAAGGCAGUUAAUAGAAAAUCCAUUUUAUUGUGUAUAUCUUUUAGAGAUGAUUCAUUUGUAUCUAGCCUUUGUUUAACUUCAUCACUAGUUUUGGUUUGUUGAGCAAUUAUCUCUUUUAAUGAAAGUUGCUUUAAAGUGUUACCUGAAUUCAUACCUUUGCUAUUGGGUUGACUCGAAGUAGGUUGACAUUUGUAUGAUGUCUCAAUGGCCCUUUGAUCUUCUUUGAACUUGGCCCUCUGGUCAAUCCAAUGGAGCAAAUUUUCCAUCUUGGUUGAUAAUGCAUUUACUUCUUCUGGUAUUUCUUCAGUUUGAUGACAUUGUUGAGCUUUAUCUUGGAACCAGCUUUGGUUUUCUGCUAUCUUAUCCAAAAGUAUCUCUGCUUUUCCAAUUGUAAGCUCCAAGAAUGAUCCUUUAGCAAAUGCAUCUAGGCACUCACGAGCCUUCUGGGUUAAUCCAUGGUAGAAGGUCUGCAUAAGUAACCAUGUGGCCAUUCCAUGGUGAGGACAAUCUGAUAUGUAUCCUUGAAAAUGCUCCCAUACUUCUGGAAUGGUUUCUGUCUUCUGCUGUUGGAAACUGACAAUAUUUCCUCUUAAGGUAGUUGUUUUGCCUAUAGGGAAAAACUUUGAUAGAAAGGCAUCUGACAAGUUCGUCCAGUUGUUGAUGUUAUCUUGAUGAGUGUAGAACCACUUCCUUGCUUUCCCUUCUAGUGAGAAUGGAAAGAGACGAAGCAGUAUGACGUCUUUAUCGACUCCGUUCAUGCGGAUUGUACUUCCAAUCUCUAAGAAAUUCUGCAAGUGUGCACUAGCAUCUUCAUGUGUCUUUCCACUGAAUUGUGUAGCUUGUACCAAAUUGAUGAGGCUUGACUUGAGCUCAAACUCGGGUGCUCCUUCUUCUACUGCAAAUCUUGGACCAAUUGGAUUGUUCUCAAGACUUGGAGCAAAGAAUUCUUGCAAGGUCUUUUGUGCCAUAGCUUCAGCAAUUGGUAGGUAGCUUCUUCUUUCUUUCUUGAUUGCUUUGGUUCUGAUGAUGAAGAGUUGAAUGUACCAAAGUCAAUCCUGAUAUACCCUGUAUAAAAAUAUAAACAUAGAAAAACAACAGGGUGAACUUGCCAAAGCAGAGGUGCGUUGUUAUGAUUUUUCAUUUAGUAGCUGUUUUAUGCAAUUAUUUAUCCAUAGUCUAGUCUAAUAUUUUACUUGAAUAACCUUGACUGAUUUCCUGACUUUCCUUACCGUUCCUAUGUGUCCCCGGCAACGGCGCCAGAGAUGCUUGUUGACACUUACUAACACACUUGGAUACUAGGUUGUCAUCCCCAGCAUGGUGCCAGAGUAUACAAAGGUAUUUAUGAAUGUAAAGGCUCUCUAGAAAAUAAUCUAUUCUAUCCGCAAGCGCAUAGAUAAAAUACCUCACUGUAGCAUUUCACCAGGAAAGUAUUCCGGGUAUCGUUAUUUAUAAUUUUGCUUAAGAGAAUAGUGGAGGUAAAUAAAAUCUAUCAAGGCAUAGACUAUAGAUAAACUUGCAAGAACAUGAUUACUAAUGAGGAACUCGUCACACAGUCACUUACUUUAGCAGAGGGUAAGCCAUAAUAAUAAUGAUAAUGAAAUAUAAGCUCAUGGGUAAAUAACACAGCGAUUAGAAAAUAAACUACUCCUCAUAUAUGUAAGGUGACGUCGGAUUAGCUAGAGAAUGGAUUCUAACUUAUCUACUAUCUACUAAGUCACAAUCUACUCUACUUAUCUACAAGAUCAUAUAUAGCAUAAAAGACUCUUCAUUCAUGUAUAAGGAACAUUGCUAAAGUAAAUCAGAACAUCGCAAGACUUACUCCGCAAUACAAAUUCUGCAUAUCCUAUCAACGGAGGGUGGUCUAUAUAAGAAUCAACGAAGCUGUCACCAUCGCGAACUACCACACGACCCGGUCAAUAGGAUACAUUUGCAGGUAAAUAACAUCUAAGCACCACGCCCACAUGUGAUCUACCACUUAACUCCCGUGCGUCAAGAGCUAAGCGCUUUGCAAACUUAUACAUAAACUCAUUAUCAUCAUAACUAUAUCAAAUAUAGAACUAGAGCAAACUAAGAACAUAAUAAAUAAAGACAUAAUGCAAUUAGAAUAAAGUAGUAGAGAAAGAUAUGAAAUAAUACCAAUCUUUAUUAACGAAGAUCCGAAUCCAGAGCGCUAGGCUCUACUUCUCUAAUUCUAUCUAAUCAAUCCUAUAGAACUUGAAGGAUUAGGGAGUGGCUAAUUCUAAUUCUCUGUGGGAGAGAAGUUCUAAAACACUAACUUUGAUGGCUUCCUCUGAUAAUGAUUUUCUCCUCCUCCCGUGGGGUGGAGAGGCCUUGCUUAUAUAGUCCCCUCAAGUGAAUUUGGGCCGUCGGAUCAAACCGACAUAAAUCGCACGGUUAUUCUUGAAGAUUAAAGGCGGUGGAGCACGAUCCAGGAGACCUGCUCUGAUUGGCCACCAGAGGAGGGCGGGCGCCCAAGGGGGGGAGGGCGGGCGCCCUGCCCCCGGGCCCGAUCGACCUCCCGUUCGUUCCCGUGGCUUGUGGACUCUUCUAGAUUAAGGAAAAUUGAGCGGCACAUAAUUAUCUCGUUGUAAACCUGACAUGUGGGCCUUCUCUCCAUAUUUUCUGAUAACCCCCUGCAGUAAUAGACAAAUACCAAAGCUCGUGGAAUUCUGUCAGAUAAAACCCUAAUUCUAGGUGUUUGGUGCAUAUUGAUCAUUUUCCAUGUUUAGUUGACGGUUAAAUUUAGUACUUAAGGACCGUCAACAAUAAUGUUGUAGAUUAGUCAUUUCACCCGUAAUAAUAGUACUGGUAAGUCUGCCCCGAGUUUAACUAUCCUUGCACUAGUGCUCUGAUCUGUGAUGAGGCUGAAAAACUCGAAAGUGUGUGUUGUCAUCAGCUUCGGCUCUGUACUUGUGAGUUGGGAGUUAAAUAACAGCACAAGAUUGUUUACUUUUGUGAGUUUAAACCACAAAUUUUGCCUUGGUCUUGUAACAUAAUUUUUUUCAGGUUUUAGAAGAUGAAGAGCUACUUAUAUGUCUAACUAAUUCAUCUGACUGGUUGUACGUAGCUGAUGACCUAUAGUUUUUGACUGCCUUUGCAUGUAGCUGAUGGCUGACGCCCUGUGUUGACUAGUUGUAUCUAUGACAGGCCUCCUGACCAAUGUGCUUUGAGCUUGUAUAGAAACCCUGCGUUAUUAUGCAGCAUGCUGAUGGUCAAGUCCGAAAUGCAUUAUGCAGCAUAUAUACUGAUGCCUAGAAACCCUGUGUUGUUAAAUAGCUUCAGGCACACCCUUGAAUCUUUAGUUCUUGCUUAGGAUUCCAACCAUAUGUUGUGCAGCUGUAGCUCAGUGUAUUGUCCUGGUUAUGCUCUAUUUUCAGCAUCAUAGAUUUUCUGUGCUACUUUUGGGGACUAGAGACUAGAGAUUCAGAUGCUAUUCUGGUAUUAUUUGAUGAUCAAUUGUACCAGUUCUCAACAUUUUUUUUGGUUAUUAUUGUUCUUUACUUCCUGCUCUGAGAAGUUAGAUUUUGAGUGGUGAUGAGCAAUUGUGUUUUGGACUAGAGUUUCUGAUACUACUUGUGGUAGUUGAAGACCAAACCCUUGGCUGUCUGAAUAUAAGUGUUGUAAUCCUGAACUGUUUGAUUGUUUGGUGUACCAUGAUAUUUCUUUCCUAUUGAAUAGGAUGACAUGAUAGGCCCCAGAAACUUCUUUUUAUUGUUUGAGUGGCCUGUUAGAGGUGUGGAUGAUGAUAACAAAGUAAAAUACAGUUAUCCCAGUCUUAUUCCUUCCAAAGGGUGCUGAUAAAACUUUAUUCUGACACAACUAUGUAUUUAUAGUAGUUUAAUUAAAUUAUUUCCUUUACACUGCAUUUUAUUUUGAUCUGAUCAAAAGUUGAUUGUCUGAUUUUGUUUUUGUUCUUUGCCUGAUGAGUUAUUGUUGCAGGACAGGCAAUCUUUUGCCUGUCAUCUGUUGAUUUCUGUAACAAACUAGGACGGUGUGAGGUCUUUAGUUCACUUGUGAAUGUAACUAAAUUUGAAUUUUGUUUGGUUUGAUAUCUUGAUAAAUGAAUUUAGGAGUGAUGGCAGUGACGACUUGGUGAUAUUCAAGCUCAACAGACCAAAUCACAUGUCAAUCUCUUUAGAUGAGAUUAACCUAUAUGUUCCUUUUUUCACAGGAGAAGACCCAUUCGGAACCAAGCCGGAGUACCCUGAUCAUCUUCAUUGCUGCUGCGGGUCUGCCUGCACCGCGUUGCAUCGCCACUGCACCGACCCACCAUGGCCCCGCUAGCCUGACUUCAUCGCCACCCAAGGUAUAACAUGUCUUUCCGUAUCAUGGUAGUGUAUAGCGUAACCCUGUUAGGCGUCUCUCGUUCGAAAGAGAUACGGUUGAAAAUAUACAUAUCUUUGUAUGUAUAUAACUGUAUCUUUUUCGAAUUGUCCACAUUUUUUGUACAGCUCGCGGAUGCGUAGAAGAGAUUAGUUUCCAUGGUCUGCUUUGAUUCGAGAGAGUUUCGGCAUCAUCUUCCUAUUGUUCUCUGGAUACAAACUCUCCUUGCAAGGACGUGUAUCUGGAGAACAGUGGGGAGGUGCUGCCUAAAUUCUGUCUCGGAUCAGAGUAGAGCAUGGGAACUAACCUCAUCUCCGCACCCUCGAGUUGGAUUAGGACCUAUCCUCACCUAUUAGAUUGUAGGAACAUCAUAUAGAUGCCAUUGGUGGUUAUCUUACUCUUUGAUAUAUAUGUUAGAAGAUGGAUAAUCGUGAGUGGAUGUACAUGGGCCACUCAAGUCAGGGUCAAGUCAGCAAUGAAUGGAUCAACAAGACCGAUGAUUUCUUGGAACAGGCAUUUGGCGAGGCUGGUAAAGGAGCAAGUAAAAUCUUUUGUCCCUGUAGUAAGUGUGCAAACAGAAAAACACAAACAAAGAAGGUCAUGGGGCAGCAUCUUUGGAAGAAUGGAUUCACGCAAGACUAUACCGGUGGGUCUACCAUGGUGAAGCCGAUCGCAUGAGUGAGGAGGUGGUGAGACAACACAUUGAGGAUUACGAUGCUGAUGCCGGGGUAGUAGACAUGUUAGAUGACUUCCACGGAGCACAAUUCCCUGAAGGAAGUAUUGAGGAGGCGCCAGAGGAAACUGCAAAGGCGUUCUAUGAUAUGUUUUCUUCAGCACAGAAACCCCUUCACUGCAAGACAACGGUUUCUCAACUAGAUGCGAUUCGACGCAUAAUGGCAUUAAAGUCUCAGUUUAGCCUGAGUCGAGAUGCCUAUGAUGGUGUGUUGACAGUUAUUGGCUCUCUGCUUCCGGAGGGUCACAUUCUACCAAAGAGCAUGUAUGAAUCACAGAAACUCCUUCGUGCACUUAAGAUGUCGUAUGAGCAGAUACAUGCUUGUCUGAAGGGGUGUGUCCUAUUUAGGAAAGAACAUGCGGAAGCAAAGUAUUGUCCAAAGUGUAAAUCUUCUAGGUUCAUGGAAGUAGACUCUGGUGAUGGCCAGAAGCGACAGCUUGACAUCCCGGUGACAAUCCUACGACAGCUAUACAUGACCGAGGAAUCUUCAAAACAGAUGACAUGGCAUAAAAAUGGCAAACGAUACAAUCCUAACAAGAUGGUACAUGCAUCUGAUGGUGAAGCAUGGACCCACUUUGAUGACAUUCAUCAUGAGAAAGCUAAAGAGGCUUGUAAUGUACGGGUUACGCUAGCAACAGAUGGGUUCAAUCCUUAUGGAAUGAUGGCUGCCCCAUACACAUGUUGGCCUGUGUUUGUUAUCCCCCUCAAUCUCCCACCCGGCGUAUGCUUUCAAUGACAUAAUGUUUUCUUGUCGUUGAUAAUUCCUGGACACCCAGGGAAUAAUAUGGGUGUGUUCAUGGAGCCUGUGAUUGAUGAAUUGGUUUGUGCAUGGGAGGAAGGGGUAUGGACAUAUGACCGAGCUACAAUGACAAACUUCAAAAUGUAUGUAUGGUACCACUACUCCCUUCAUGACUUCCUGGCAUAUGGGAUAUUCUGCGCUUGGUGUGUUCACGGGAAGUUCCCAUGCCCACUAUGCAAGGAAGCUCUGAGAUUCAUUUGGUUGCAGAAGGGUGGCAAGUAUUCGUCAUUCGACAAACAUCGACAAUUCCUCCCUAUUGACCAUCCGUUCAGACAAGACAUCAAGAACUUUACGAAAGGUGUUGUAGUGACAGACCCUGCACCCCAGAUGAUGAAUGCUGCCGCAGUUCGUGAACAGAUAGAUGUUCUCGUGGUCAAUGAAGGAGGCAGUUUUGUGGGAUAUGGUGAGCAACAUAUGUGGACUCAUAAGUCGGGCUUGACUCGGCUCCCCUAUUUUGAUGACCUACUCCUUCCACACAACAUUGAUGUAAUGCACACUGAAAAGAAUGUUGCCGAGGCACUUUGGGCAACAAUCAUGGAUAUUCCUGAUAAGUCAAAGGACAACGUUAAGGCUAGAGUGGAUCUGGCAACGUUAUGCGAUAGACCAAACCUAGAGAUGAAGCCUCCUAAUCGCGGCACGACAUGGAGAAGGCCUAAGGACGAUUUUAUCUUGACUAGGGUCCAAAGGAGAGAAGUACUAGAAUGGAUGUAGACGUUAAUGUUCCCUGAUGAGUAUUUAGCUAAUCUGAGGAGGGGAGUGAACUUAUGUACUAUGUGAGUCUUAGGGAUGAAGAGUCAUGACUAUUUCAUAUGGAUUGAACGUCUUCUUCCAGCAAUGGUCCGAGGCUAUGUCCCUGAGCAUGUCUGGCUAGUGCUAGCAGAGUUGAGCUAUUCCUUCCACCAGCUUUGUGCCAAGGAAUUAACUCAGACUGUGAUUGAAGACUUGGAAAGAAUGGCACCAGUGUUGCUAUGUAAGUUGGAGAAGAUCUUUCCACCUGGCUUCUUCAAUCCGAUGCAACAUUUGAUUUUGCACCUCCCGUAUGAGGCACGAAUGGGGGGCCCGUGCAGGGCCAUUGGUGCUAUCCAAUCGAGAGAUGUCUAAAGGUUCUUAGAAAGAAAUGUAGACAUAAAUGCAAAAUUGAGGCUUCCAUUGCAGAGGCAUUCAUUCUAGAGGAGGUGUCGAACUUCACAACAACAUACUAUGGUGACAACCUCCCUAGUGUGCAUAAUCCACCCCCUCGUUACAAUGCUGGCGAAAAUGAAUCAAACCUCAUCCUUUUCCGAGGGCAACUCGGAAGUGCAAGUGGAUCGACCCCCAAGACCUUGAAACGUGAAGAGUGGCGUAGUAUCAUGCUUUGUGUGUUGAACAACCUUGACGAAGUCGAGCCGUACAUGCAGUAAGUUCUCAAUGAACUUGUUCCAUAUACCGUCAUUAUUUUUCAUCCAACCCCUUGUUUCUCAUUGGUACAGGGGAAUUUCUUGAUCGAUUUUGGAAUCUAUCAAGGGAACCUACACCUUAGGAAUGUGAUGCCCUUCUUAGACAGGGUGCGGGAAGUGGAAUGCACGAUUUCAUUUCUUGGUUCAAAGAGAAGGUACCGUCCAAUUUAGCUCAUGGUUAUUUUGACAUUCCAAGUUACUCGUAUGUAUGAAUAAUAUAACUAUAUAUCCUGCUUGAGCUUGUAGGGCCAAAGGGAUGUGUUAAUGAGUGCUGAGUUGAGACAGGUUGCAGAUGGCUUUGAAUAUAGGGUCAGGUCAUUUACUGGUUAUGACGUGAAUGGAUAUCGCUUUCACACAACAAACUAUGAGCAGAGUCGACCUAAUCAAAUAACCACAAGUACUGGAGUUUUUAUGCCUGGCCAAGAUGGGGUCGACUAUUAUGGAAGAAUCGAUGAAAUAUAUGAGCUCAAGUUUCAUGGUUCCAAAGCUCUUGAUCCUGUCAUAUUCAAAUGUCAUUGGUUUGAUCCUGAAGUAACGAGACAGACAUAUUAUAAUCUUGGGCUAGUCAAAAUUCGACAAGAUUCUGUCUUACCAGGUGAUGAUGUCUACAUUGUGGCCCAACAAGCCACACAAGUUUAUUAUCUCUCAUAUGCAUGUCAAACCAAAGAGCAUCUUAAGGGUUGGGAUAUUGUGCACAAGAUAUCGCCACAUGGUAAAGUACAUGUCCCAAUUGAUGAAGAUUAUAACUUAGACCCAAACACAUAUGAUGGAGAGUUCUUUCAAGAAGAGGGGCUACAAGGGAGGUUUGAGAUAGACUUAACUGAAGUGAUUGGGAUGGAAGUAGACAAUGAAAGGGUUCUUGAUGAGGACGCUGGAGAUGUGGUGCAGAAUUUGAAAGACUUACAAAUGCUGGAGCAAUUACAUUUAGGCAAUCACAAUAGUGACAUAAUUGUUCCUUCGGAUAGUGUUGAUUAUGACAUGGUUGAUAGUGAUGAUGAGACUUAUGAUUCAACUAAUCUGAAUCAUGAAGAUUAUUUCUAAUACAUGUAAUACUAUUUUUAUUUUGUAAUUAUGUUAUUUCUAAUACAUGUAAUACUAUGUUAUUUUGUAAUUAUGCUCCUCUUGCUGAUUAAUUCUUGUUUAAUCUUUUAAUUGCAGGUGAUUGAAUAAAUAUGGUGGGCGGUAAUAUGAGGAGGGUGAACUCUCUUUACCAAAGAGCACGCCCUACAGCGCCUGCUGCAGAUGAGGAGCCAUCAUAGGGGAGGAGGAGGAGGAGCAGCCGUAGGAGGGACCCAUCGCCUCUUGUCCUAGAACGUGCGGGGUGCGAGCAGGUGAUGCUCGAGGAUGAGGAGUGGCACGAGGACGAGGAGCGGCAUGAGGAUGAGGAGCGGCACGAGGACGAGGAGCGGCACGAGGAUGAGGAGGAGGAGGAGGAGGAGGGGGCAGCAGGAGGGGGUUCUACUACCUCUGGCGGCUCGGGUAUCUACUUGCGAGGUCCAGUGAGCCUCCCUCAGCGACCGAUACCUCCUCACAGGCGGCCGUUGAUUCGACCUAAUGGGGAAAAGUAAGUAACUUAAGAUGUUAUCACUACUUCAUACGAUAUGUUGAAAAUCACAAUGCAAACUAAUAUUUUUUCUUAAACACUUGGGCAGGAGUUGGACGAUUGUACAGUCUGCAGGUUGUCACACACGCCAUGUCAAUGGCAUCCUAGGGUAUUUGUGCAAGGAAAAACCCUAUUUUUAUAAAGCCACAAAGUAUAAGUAACAGACAUAAACUGAAAAAAAGUUUUAAGUUUCCAAACUAGCACAACUGCACAAGCUACUAAUCUGCAUACUCACUUCUUACCUGCAUGCAAAGCAUGUGCUACUUCCUGAUCCCUACCUGCAUGCACAACCAUAUGGGCUCAUCCAAGACAUAUCAAUUUUUUUUAAACUGCUAUAUGUUGCUUUGUAAAGAAGUAAUUAGCUCAUACAUAAUUGUUGACACCGUUUUUGGACACGUAUCUUUGGGCACGCGUCUAGAGUUAAUAAGAUGUAGAUCGGCAGGUGGAGGAAUGGUGACUAGUCUAUAGGGGAGUUGCCGAUGAAGCUGGUUGCCGAUGAGGAAACAACCAAAUAUGAUCAAGUCCAAAAGUGGUGACGUAUUCGUGCCGAUGAUCAGUGCCGGUGUUUGCCAAUGGCUGUAACAGGUAGUCUGCUGAUGACCCUGAAGAAAAGCGCAGAGGUUGCCAAUUGAUUCGUGGCAGUGUCCCGAUCGGUUACGGGGGAUAGUUUAAUGUUUUCCUUAGUUAUUAGUAUUCGUUUUGUAUGCGGGUUCCGUUUAAUUUGGAAUUCGAGUCCUAGUUGUGUCUGGUUGUAGCUCUUUGGACAGGGUAUAAAUGUAGACCCUAGGGCAAUGUAAUGAAAAAUCUAUCAAUCAAUCAAACACAAGUUUUUACUCAUAUUCCAGCAUCUACUUUUUCGACGACUUCGUCAUAUUUUCUUUUUACUACGAGUUCUUAAGAACUCGUCGAGUCAAUCUCGGUGUGUUCUCAAGUUCCGUGUGAGCACCUCUUGGCCGUGACAUCCGGGCGCAUCGCUGUUGUCGGGACCAAAGUGUUCGAGUUACCACCUUCGUCGAUUGUAAGGUCAAAUCGGCUGGCACGCCUUAACGUUUAAAUCGGGUAUUAGCCCUUUGUGUUUGCAGAUCAGCUUUUGCACCAACACAUCUUUUGGCACGCCCAGUGGGACCAAGAUCCAAGAUCAAGAUCAACAUGUCAAACACCGAUUUUGACUUGGAGAACAUUAUUCCCGUGACGAAAGCCAAUCUCAGGGAUGAGCAGAAGCAAGCUAUGGCAAAAGCCAUGGAGGACUACAAGCAGCAAUGCUUGAAAUCCUUCAGUAUCAACAGGAGCGGCGAGGUGAUCCAAAAGGAAGCAUUGCCGGCACCUCGGUAGAUAACUUUUGAAGCCAAUCCUGGUAAACUUCAAGACAUGGUUGACAAUGCUAUUAACCGUGCCUUGAUCAAUCAAGCUGGUGUGCUGUCCAACACGGUUUUCAAUGCUGUGGCCAGAACUUUCAAAGAAGGACAAAUACCACCAACUUAUGUGGGUCCUGCCUAUCUUCAGCCAGGGUCAUCAUUGGUCAUGGCUCCAUCGGCUACUACAGCCGUUGCGGGUACAGAAGUUACUUCUCCUCCAAGCACAUUAGGGAUUACUAGUGCGCAGUCUACACCAAUGACAACCGACCCAUCAACAUCAGACGGGAAAAUCAAGCUUGCCACAGAUCUAUUGGCAUCAGCAAUGUCAGGGACUGUUCCUCCCAACUGGUGGGGUUAUGGUAUGCCCCCAGAAUUGAUGGCAAAAGGUCCUGGAACAUCUCAAGUGGCUGACGUGACAGGCAAGGCUCCAAUGGCAUCAGCACCUCCAAAACCGCCGAUGAAUCAGAGUCCCCAGUACACCACAACUACUACUGCAAGACCUUACAUUAGGAAUUCUCAAGCACCAACCUUCCAGAUGCCUAAUGUAUCGGCAAAUUCAAUGCCGACGCAGCAGAGGUUUAUGACACGACCAGGGUAUGUCAAUUCAAUGAUGAUGCCUAAUUUCCAGUCAUCAGCAGGGCCUAUGCCGAUGAAUGCUAACAGUGGAUGGACUGGACAGUUUGUCUUUCCACAGAUGCCUCAGCAGAAUCAUCAGGCUGUGGGGUUUCAACAAGGACAAAUCCAACCUGGGUUUCAGAAUCAAGGGUUGGUCAAUCAGCUGAUGAAUCUUGGUCAGCAAAUUGGUGGUCAGAUGGUUAAUCCAAUGUUCCAUGUAGAUCGUGCACCUCAGAGACACGUAGAAGCUUAUCAGUAGGUGCCAGAUCCACAGCCGCCUCAUCGGCAAGAUGCCGAUGCUUAUUGGGCCGAUAAGAUAGCUGAAGUGAUGAGAGACCAAUUUGGGAUAAAACCCAAAGUCAACACUUACUCUUAUCGGACAGUGUAUCCUCCCGCAUAUGACUUAAUUCUACUUCCAAAUCGGUACAAGGUACCAGAUUUCACCAAGUAUUGUGGACAGGAUGAUACAUCGACUAUGGAAUAUGUUAGUAGGUUUAUCAUCCAAUGUGGAGAAGCUGCUAACAGAGAUGAAUUAAGGGUUCGCUUGUUCUCAUCAUCUUUGUCUGGAUCGGCUUUUACUUAGUUUAUUUCGUUACCUCCCAAUUCAGUAAUCACUUGGGCCGAUCUAGAAAAACAAUUCCAUAAAUACUUCUUUUCUGAAGUUCACGAGAAGAAGAUUAGCGAUUUAGUCAGGCUGAAGCAACGCAAUGAUGAAUCGGUUGAAAGCUUUGUGCAGAGGUUGCGAGAGGUUAAGAAUAAGUGCUAUAGUCUGGUUCUGGAUGAUCGGCAGCUAGCCGAUUUAGCUUUCUAGGGAUUGCUGCCACAUAUCAGAGACAAGUAUGCUUCUCAAUAGUUUGAGAGCCUAAGUCACUUGGUGCAGAUGAUUUCUGACCAAGAUAUCAGACCCUUUGAGCCUAAGAGAGCAUGGAAUAAAAAGGUGUCAUUUGUCGAUGAGGCAGCAAGCUCAGAUUGUGAUGAGGAACCAGUCAUCGGCUUAGCAGAGUGGUAAAAAAUAAGAAGCCGAUUGCUUGCCCUUUUGGGCAUAAAGAACCAGAGAAAUUUGCAUUUGACAUCACUAAAGCUGAUAGGAUAUUUGACUUUCUACUUGAGGAAGGGCAAAUCAAGUUAUCACCCAAUCAUGUGAUUCCAUCGGCUGAGGAAUUAAAGAAGAUGAAGUAUUGCAAAUGGCACAAUGCAACAUCUCACAGUACAAAUGAGUGCAAGGUUUUCAGGCAACAGCUGCAAUCGACUAUAGAAUCUGGGAGAAUCAAGUUUAAUAAUUCUAAAGCUCAGAAGCCGAUGAAGAUCGAUCAGCAUCCUUUCCCAACAAAUAUGUUGGAUGCUAAUGGAAAAACCAAGGUCUUGACGUCAGAGGCAGCUGAAAAAAGUGCAUCGGUGGAUCCUCAACAUCAGAUUACUACCGAUGACGCUAAAGGCAAGGGUCUGGUUCUGGAAGGGACCAGUUCGGGAAGGCCUCUCCGAUCUGGCAUUGUGAUAACUCAUAGAAGGCAUCGGGAGACUUGGCAGCAACGUGAGGAUCGGUAUCGGCGCCAACAGGAGGACUAUCGUCGGGAAGAAGAAGGACGCCGACAGGAAUGGAAUCGGCAUAAGGAUCACUGGAACUGCCCAUUCUUUAUCCAUUGCUGGGAGCAGAACAUCAAAUUGCCCACUAUUAGAGACUACCCUGAGUGCAACGGUUAUGAUCGGUAUGAUAGACCUAAUCGGCAGUAUCAAAACAAUGAUCGGCGAUUUAAUGAGCCGGUUAGGGGGAGAGCUUCUAUUCAUGAUCGGCUGGGGGGCAGGCUCAGUGUACAUGAUAGACUUGGUGACCAUGAUGGAUACUUUCCCAGGAACCAAGAGGAAUUUGAGGAGAUGGCAGAUGCAUGAGUUCUUGAUGAAUUCAUAUUUUGCAGAGAUGCCAAUACUUACCGAGUGGAGUCAAGAGAAGUUUGUCGGCAAUCGGUAAGGCAACCGCAACUUCCUCCAUGGUGUCCAGAGGGGUUGACUAGAACACAGAAAGAAGGUUGCAGUGCAAAAGACGAGAAGAUUUGAGCAAAGGAGAGAAUUCUGGCAAAUCUGAAAAUCAGCAGCAACCGAAUCCUAAAGGGAAAGGGCCAUCGGCAGAUGUUAACAUGGUAUUUGUGUUGCCGAUGGAGUUCCUUGCGCCGUCCAGUGAUGAUGAGGAGCUGGAUUUUUCCGACCAAAUAGCUCAGUUGGCUCUUGAUCCGAUGACGGUCUUUGAAAAGCCUGCCGAAAAUGAGAGGCAGCAUCUUAAAGCCCUGUUCGUUAAAGGAAGGGUUGAUGGGCAGCCAAUGACCAAGAUAUUAGUUGAUGGUGGGGCUGCUAUUAAUAUCAUGCCAUAUGCAGUAUAUCAGAAACAUAGGAAAGGAGAUCAAGAUUUGACCAAGACCGAUAUGAUGCUGAAGGACUUUGAAGGAAAUGUGUCUCCAGUUAAGGGAGCGAUAUGCGUCGAAUUGACCAUCGGCAGCAAAACCUUGCCGACAACUUUCUUUGUGUUCAGUGGAAUGCUUAUAAUCUGCUACUAGGGAGAGAUUGGAUCCAUGCCAAUUGUUGCAUCCCAUCAACAAUGCACCAAUGGUUGGUUCAGUGGAUAGGUGACAAGAUUGAGAUUGUCCCAGGAGAUUCUUCUUAUGUCAUCGCAUCGGCAGAAGCAGAUACCUAUGAAAGGACCAGGUGCAUCUCAGGAGAGAUUUGAGAGAAGGAUUUCCUCAAAGUUGCCGAUUAUGAAAUUCCAUCGAUCCAAGCAGUCGGUUCUGAUGAGGAGUUUUAAUGGAUAGGUUCGCCGAUGAUGGAAAGUUAGGUCAGAGGUUUACAUCGGCCGAUGAUUUAGUAGAAGUAGACCUAGGUAGUGGUGAUAAGCCAAGACCUACUUUUAUUAGUGCUAAGUUAAAUUCUGAGUGUAAGCAACAGUUAACCGAUUUGUUAAAGGAAUAUAAAGAUUGCUUUGCUUGGGAUUAUACUGAGAUGCCUGGUUUAGACCGAUCCAUUGUUGAACAUCGGUUGCCUAUCAAAUAUGGAUUUCGGCCACAUCAGCAGCCAGCUCGCCGAUGUAAUCCUAAUAUUCUUCCUGAUAUUAAGGCCGAAUAACUAAGCUUAUCGAAGCUAAAUUUAUUCGACAGUGUCGGUAUGCCGAGUGGAUUUCCAAUGUUGUCUCGGUUUACAAGAAAAAUGGGAAGCUUCGAGUCUGCAUUGAUUUCAGAAAUCUUAACAAGGCUACGCCGAUGGAUGGCUACCCAAUGUCGGUGGCCGAUUUGCUAGUCGAUGCCACGGCUGGACAUCAGAUCAUAAGCUUCAUGGAUGGCAAUGCAGGAUAUAAUCAAAUAUUCAUGGCUGAAGAAGAUAUUCCAAAGACCGCAUUUAGAUGUCCUGGUCAUGUUGGGCUGUUUGAAUGGAUAGUCAUGACCUUUGGCUUGAAAAAUGCUGGUGCUACCUAUCAAAGGGCUAUGAACUUUAUCUUUCAUGAGUUCAUCGGCAAGCUGGUAGAAAUUUACAGGAUGAUGUGGUGGUUAAGUCAGGGGAUUUCACAAAGCAUCUUGCCGAUUUGUGGAAGGUGUUGGAAUGCACAAGGAAACAUGGUUUGAAGAUGAAUCCUAAUAAGUGUGCAUUUGGUGUAUCGGCAGGGCAAUUUCUUGGUUUCAUGGUGCAUCAGAGAGGAAUUGAAAUUAGUAGGAGAUCUAUUGAUGCUAUCAACAAGAUAGUUGCUCCUACCAACAAAACUGAACUCCAGUCUUUGAUCGGUAAGGUAAAUUUUAUUAGAUGGUUUAUAUCUAAUUUGUCUGGUAAAAUUCGUGCUUUUAGUCCUUUGCUUAAAUUGAAAGCCGAUCAAGAGUUUGUAUGGGGAAAAGAGCAACAGUUGGCCUUGGAUGUAAUCAAGAAUUAUUUGACAAAUGCUCCAGUUUUAAUUCCACCUCAACAAGGAAAGCCCUUCAGAUUAUAUUUUUCUACCGAUGAGUUGGUCAUCGGUUCGGCUUUGAUUCAAGAAUUUGAAGGGAAGGAGCGUGUAAUUUAUUAUUUAAGUAGAAGACUGAUUGAUGCUGAGACCAGGUAUUCGGCAAUAGAAAAAUUAUGUUUAUGCCUAUAUUUUUCAUGCAUUAAGUUGAGGCACUAUUUGCUGUCGGCCGAAUGCAUUGUUAUAUGCAAGGAUGAUGUGGUCCGAUACAUGUUGUCUAUGCCGAUUAUGAGUGGUAGAAUCGGCAAAUGGAUUUUGGCACUGUCAGAGUUUGAUCUACGUUACGAAUCGGCCAAGGCAGUAAAAUGACAGGUUAUGGCCGAUUUUGUGACUCAACAUUGCGGUGUAGUGGAAACUUUGGAAAUUGUUCCUUGGACGCUCUUCUUUGAUGGAUCUACCUGUGACCGGGGGGCAGGAAUCGACAUAGUACUAAUUUCCCCUCGAGGAAGGAAGUAUGAAUUCUCUUUGCCGAUUGUUGCCACAUCGACGAAUAAUCAAGCUGAGUAUCAAGCUUUGAUCAAGGGGUUGGAAUUAUUAAAAGAAGUUCGUGCUGAUGCUGUCGAAAUCUUCGGGGACUCUAUGCUGGUCAUCAAUCAGUUGGCUGGAAGUUACGAAUGCCGAAGCGAAGUCCUGAUAAAUUAUUAUGAAAAAAGUAUGUGACUAUUAAAGGAAUUCAAGGAUUUCCGAUUAGAGCAUGUUCCUCGGUUACAUAAUGAGGAGGCUAAUCGGUUGGCUCAGCAUGCCUCAUGGUAUCAACCCAUAUUAAAUAUGUUAUCGACAAUCGGUGCCAAUGAUUGGAGAAAGGAGAUCAUUGAUUAUUUAAAGAAUCCAUCUAAAAAGGUUGAGAGGCGUAUCAAGUUUCAGGCUACUAAGUAUGUGCUCCUUGAGGAUGAAUUAUAUUAUCGAACUAUAGAUGGAGUUCUUCUCAAAUGUUUAGGUAAUGAUGAAGCUAAAAGUUUGAUAGGUGAAAUCCAUGAAGGAGUGUGUGGAGCACAUCAGUCGGCUUUUAAGAUGAAAUGGAUGAUCAGGAGAAAUGGGUAUUAUUGGCCGACUAUACUCGAGGAUUGCUUUAAAUAUUUCAAAGGAUGUCAAGGAUGUCAGAAAUUUGGUAAUAUUCAAAGGGCACCCGCAUCGGCCAUGAAUCCCAUUAUUAAACCUUGGCCGUUCUGGGGAUGGGCUAUUGAUCUGAUCGGUCAGAUUUACCCACCAUCGAGCAAAGGGCAUAAGUUCAUCUUAGUUGCCAUUGAUUAUUUCACUAAGUGGGUUGAAGCUAUUCCUUUGAAGAAAGUUACAUCGGCCGAUAUGAUUGAUUUUGUGAAAGAGCAUAUUAUUUACCGAUUUGGUAUUCCUCAAACAAUUACUACCGAUGAGGGUACUAUGUUUACAUCGGGGGAGUUUGAUGAAUUUGCAAUCAGUAUGGGAAUUAAAGUGUUGAAUUCUUCUCCUUAUUAUGCUCAGCCAAUGGGAGGCCGAAGCGUCUAACAAAGGAAUUAUUAAACUCAUCAAACGAAAGAUUGAAGAAAAUCCUAGAAGAUGGCAUACAUUGUUAAAUGAGGCUUUAUGGUCGUAUCGGAUGGCGUGUCAUGGGUCAAUUAAAGUUUCACCUUAUCAGUUGGUGUAUGGACACGAUGCGGUGCUACCAUGGGAAAUUAAGACCGGAUCUAGGCGACUAUCUUUUUAAGAUCAGCUGGCUGCCGAUGACUAUGCUACUUUGAUGAAAGACGAGUUAGAUGAUUUAGCAGGGCAUCGACUGAAGGCUUUGAUAAGUAUAGAAGAGAAUAAAAAGAGAGUUGCCAGAUGGUAUGAUAAAAAGGUAAAGGCUAAGGAAUUUUCCGAUGGAGAUUUGGUAUGGAAACUAAUAUUACUGAUUGGGACUAAAAAUUCAAAGUUUGGCAAGUGGUCUCCCAAUUGGGAAGGUCCUUAUCGGAUAAGUCGGUCUGCUCCUGGUAAUGCCUAUAUUUUAGAAACUCUCGAAGGAGUUGAAUUUCCCCGAGCAUUAAAUGGGAAAUAUUUAAAGAAGUAUUACUCGAGCAUGUGGGUUGAUGCAUAAAAGUUUAAGUGCCGAUAACACUCCUAUCGGCUGGAUUAAAAUGUGUCUGGGACUGUAUACGAUGUUCCAAAAGAUGCCGAUAACAGUCCUAUCGGCUAGACCAAAACAAUCAACAGUUUUUGAGGGAAGAGCAAAACACGCCACCGAUGAAAAGCUUAUACAUUCAGUAGAGCUUGGAUCGCUGAUAUAGCGUGCAGACGAAUUUGAUCGGCUUCUUCUAUCUCCCUGAUGUCUUCAUCGGCAGAACCCUCCACUGGCUUCAGCUUCUUCUUCAUCUGCAAUGCCUUGCGGGCUUGAAUGUUUCGCUCUUGUUCGAGGGUCUUGAUCAUUUCAGGCAGCUGACUUUCUUCUUGUUGAGCUUGGGACAGAGCCUCUUCUACUUGCUUAAGCUCUGCCAAGAGGGCUUCUCUUUUUGCCGAUAGGUCAGAGAUCUUUUGUUUCAGCGUAUCUCCAGAGGAUUUUAGAAUGCCGAUGCUCUUGUGUUUCUCAUCGGCAAGGUGCUUCACUUUCAUUACCUCCUCUGAAAGUUGGGCAUGAGUGGCUCUAUCGGCAAGGCGUUGGGUAGCUUUUUGAUACUGAAGCUGGCGGCUCUCUAAGUGUGCAGCCUGAAAAAGAGUCUCCUCGGCAUCGGCAGGGAUUUGGCCUCUGAGAGCCUUAAACAAAGCCUUGGCUGGAUUAGAGUCAUCAACCAGUUGAGCUGUAUCUUGAUGAAGCAGGGCCAACAUAUCUUCCAGCUUUGCUCUGAUUUCUGCCGCUGAAAUCCCGAUUGCUUGAGAGGAGCUUGCUUCUUCACCUUCACCGUCGGAAAUUUUGAUAGCGAAGGAAAACAUGCUGUCAGGAGAAUCUUGUUCCUGAAAAAGAAAAGGAGAUAGGUUAUUUGAUGACUAAAUGUUAGUGAAAUAAAGGAUGAAUCAAAUAGCUUACUUGUUUCAAAGCUAUCUCCCGCCUCUGGCUAGUUGAGGCUGGUAGUGCCAUAGGUUGAUCAGUCGGAGUUGCCGAUGGGACAAUGCCAGCUGGAAAUUAAUAAAGAUAAUCAUAAGUCGGAAAGUUAAGUCCAUCGGCAAUGAUUUCAUAGACAAUGCUUUACCUUGAGGGGGUGCAGUGCUUGUCUGGAUUGAGGAAACUACCGAUGCUAUGAUUGAACCCACUGGAUCAACGGUCUGCUCAUGUACAUCGGCUAAUGUCUCUUCUAGCUGAGGUUCUUCUUGUGGCUGAGGUGGAGAUGGUGCUUGUUGUGUCUGAGUCUCUAGUGAAGAAGGGGACGAUUCCACAUGAAUCGGUGACCCUGGAGGAGGAGGAGGAGGUGCUGUUGUCUUCUGGCGUUUUGCUUGUGACUUAGUACUCUUGGGACCCUUUCUCUUUAGUUGGCUGGACUGGGGGGCAUCGGCAGUUGUCUUGUGUUGGUGCAAAAGCUGAUCUGCAAACACAAAGGGCUAAUACCCGAUUCAAACGUUAAGGCGUGCCAGCCGAUUUGACCUUACUAUCGGCAAGGAAGGUAACUCGAAUACUUUGGUCUCGACAACAGCGAUGCGCUCGGAUGUCACGGCCAAGAGGUACUCACGCGGAACUCGAGAACACGUCGAGCUUAAGUCGACGAAUUCCUAAGAACUCGUAAUAAAAGGAAAAUAUGACGAAGUCGUCGAAAAAGUAGAUGCUGGAAUAUGAGUAAAAACUUGUGUUUGAUUGAUUGAUAGAUGUUUCAUUACAAGGCCCUAGGGUCUAUAUUUAUACCCUGCUUAAAGAGCUACAACCAGACACGACUAGAACUUGAAUUCCAAAUUACACAGAAUCCGUAUACAAAACGAUUUAAAUAACUAAGAAAAACAUAAAACUAUCCCCCCGUGACAAACUGGAACACCUCCACAGACCGAUUGGCAGCUUCCAGACUUCCUCUCUAUAUCAUCGGCAGACUACCUUACCAUAGUCAUCGGCAGACUUCCUUGUCGUAGCCAUCGGCACAGACACAUCACCACUUAUGGACUUAGUUACGUUCAACCAUCCUUCCAUCGGCAAUCAUCUCCAUCGGCAACUUUCCUCGCAGACCAAACACCACCGCCUUAUCUUGCCGAUCUACACUUUACCGAUCACGGACACGUGCCCAAAAACGGUGUCAACACAUGCCCCCCAAUUUCGUAGUAUGGAAUCAUUAAUACUCCAAAAUUCUCUGUAGUAAUGAUGCCUUUUUCCACAAUUAAUGCUCCUAAUCUGGCAACCAACAGCCUUAACCUAAACAACUCUGAUCCUAUCCUUCCGCAGAUCCCUCGAAAUCCUCAACUUCCUUAAACGGACAUUUCCAUCUUAGUCGCGUAUCGGCAAUAUUACCAUUACAAGGACUUGCCGAUGUACUGACCAGGACACCCGUAUCUUAUCUUUCCAAACGGCUACCUCGACUUCAUUCGCUCAUCGGCAAUAUGACCGUUACAAGACGCUGCCGAUGGACCGACCAGGAGAUCCCGCACAGUAAAAUAUCUCUGGAUAAUGACCGAUUCCUGUCAAAUCGCCUGCACAAUCCCUUGAUUACCGUGCGAACAGUUACCAUAUCUACCUGAGCACCCUCGAAUUUCACGGAUACGGCGAAGAGAUAAGUCAAUUUUGCCCCUGCCUGUUUUGUCCUAUAAAUAGUUCCUUCUCGGGUACUCCUUCUCCAUCACAUCAUUCCACCAUCCCGACUUCACCUUCCCAGUGGCGGCGCCCUUUCAAGGUCUCCAAAAUCCCCGACGAAGUCUCUUCUUCACCAACUCCGGAGCCCUCGAUCGUCCUCCUCGUGGCAAGAUGGCCGUCAACUUCAUCGUUCCGGAGGUCAGUUCUUCACUCCAUUUCCCGUACUUUUCUCGCACUCUUGUUCAUCCGCAUUCCACCGUACUGAAUAUUUUUCUCCCUUUUUUUUCUCUGUUUUUUUCUUUUUUACCUUCAAAAUCACUAGGAGUUGUCCAACAAAAUUGUCAUCCCCACCGAUCGACCACACCUCCAAUGCCUUGGCCCGCUAGGGGAUCCAGAUCCAACCAAUCUCAUAAACGCAGAAACUAACAGGAUCCCUUUCAGAGUAGAGAAUUUUUCUUUGGAUCUGUGGAAGGAUACUUUUCGUUCCUGGCCCAUCCCUACCGUGGGGGUGGACAAAUUGGUUUUUGAGGGUCAACAACUCAAAUGAAGUCCAGUGGAGUGAAAGAAAUCUAGCCCAAUGCAUUAGGUUGUCCAUUGCCGAUAUGCAUAGGAAUGAGUCACUGCUGAUAGCUGCAUCAUACUUCUGGUCAGACACGCUCAACGCUUUUGUCUUUGGCCACGGCCUUGCUUCCCCUACUCUUGCCGAUGUGGCUAUGCUCACCGGCCUAGAUGUAUCCUCUGCCGAUAGCACCCAUUUUUUCGACACCAAACCCAGUGCCAAGGUAGAAACUCGCUCCAUCGGCGGUUGGUCAGGGUAUAUUCAAAAAUAUAGACGAACAAGCCCUGUCAACAUAAAAGAGCAGACCUGCUUCCUGAACAUGUGGCUAGAUAAGUUCGUGUUUUGCGGGCGAUCGGUAGGACCAACCUCGGUCCACUUAGCAGCGGAUGAAAAUCUGGCCAAUGGUGGCCAAUUUCCCCUCGGCCGAUAUCUGCUUGGUGCAGCCUACCACCUCCUUCACCAAGUGACUAGGAAACUCUUGCUCGGCCAGUCUAUCGGAAACUUGGGAGGCCCCUGGUGGUUUAUCAAUAUGUGGCUCAAUCUGCAUCUGCACAAGCGCCUUGAAUUUAACCUGUUCACACAGCGUUUCCCAAGGGACAUAGCCGAAAGCCAUGUGUUGGAUGAAGAGGAAUCGGCAACACGUGCUCCCUUGAACUUCGGUGUAGCUGUUAUAGUUCUGUCUGGUUCAGGGGGUAAUCCAGAUCAAGUCAGUCGAUUCUUCCAAACUUUGUAUGAGGGUUUGGCCAGAGAUGUGUGAGCAUGGUUGGCCUACGAUGAUCCAGACAGUAUGCUCCCCCUGGUUUUCAACCCGUUCAACGACGCUCUUGACAAGGACAACGAAGUGAUGAUGGCAUUGGUGACUCCCAGAGCCAUACCAGUGAACUUCUUCGGCAGUGGGAAAACCUCCCCCUAGACUUAUGGUUUUACAACCCAUCGACACUAUCCCGUCAAUUAGCUUUCGGCCAGCUGCCAAUGUGAUAAAGCCCAGGGAAACCAUCACCAGCCUUCUUGAAUGGAUUCGAGUAGCCUAGCUGCCAUCGAGUGCCGAUACAGACGUAGAUUUAUCUGAGUGGGUUCCAGCCGCCUUCAUCACUCAGGCGUACAAACAGUGGUGGGCAGAAUGGAAGGAGCACCUGUUCUGCAAAUCGGCCCUCACGUACCGUGGUAUGAUCGAUCCUGAGUACAAAGUCCCCAAUGAUACUGUAAGUGUCUUCAAACCGAUGUUUCAAUCCUCCCAAUUUUGUUUCCAUCGGUGAUUUACUUCUGUACCGUUUUGCAGGUUGAUGACACCCCUCCAUCGGUCAGCAGAAGUGGCAAGCCGAUUGAUCUGUUUGCAUCAGGUCCAAUCUCUUCAAUCGGCCACAACGCCCCUACCCUGGCUGCCAUCGUGCAUCGAGGUAUACGCCUAAAGAAAGUUACCACCAGGAGAACCCAGACACCACCAUCGGUAGCUGCUUCCACUCUCGCACAGGCUUUUAAGGUAACUGUUAAACCUCUUCAUUUAUACCGAUCUUACUUUUACAUCGGCUGCAUUUGUAUUCACAAACUCCUCUUCUUUGUCACAGCAAACCAGUGCAUCGGCAAGAACCAAGAGCCAAGGUGCCGAUGCCCCCCAGUCUAGCCAGCAAAAGAGGAAGGGUGCCAAGAGUACCAGGGCAGAAACAAAGCGCCAGAAAGUGGCAACUCCCCCUCCUCCUCCGAUAUCUCCCAUUUCGGUGGAACCUUCUCCUUCUCCUCCAGAAGCAGAGACUUAGCAAGCACCAUCUCCCCGUUCAACACAAGAAGCACCACAGGUGGAAGAACCUCAACUGGAAGAACCUCAACAAGAAGUACCUCAGCCAGAAGACACAUCGGCUGAUGUUCAUGAACCAACCGCCGACCCAGCAGGUUCCAUCAUAGCAUCGGUGGUUUCCUCCGUUCAGACAAGUAUUGCCCCUCCUCAAGGUAACACAUUUACAACGUUAGUGCCAAUGAACUUAUUUUUCCAUCUCAUAACCAUUUACAUCAUUUUUCAGCUGACGUAGUUUCAUCGGCAAUCCUAGCCGAUCAACCCGUGGCUCCAUCGGCCUCUUCCGGUCAAAGGCAAGAGAUCGCCUUGAAGCAAGUAAGUCACCCAACCCCCAUCAAUAUUAUUUGCCGAUGUCCCGACCAUAGAAUGACUCACUUUGUUUUCCUUUUCAGGAACAGGAUUCUCCUGACAGCCUAUUCUCCUUCGCUAUUGAUAUCUCCGAGGACGAAGGUGAGGAACCGAGUUCCUCCCGGGCGGUCGGGAUCGUAUCGGCAGAGAUCAGGGCCAAGCUGGAAGAACUGUCGGCUCUCCUCCAUCAAGACACGGCUCAACUGGUCGACGACUCUGAUCCAGCCAAAGUUCUGUUCAAGACCCUCAGAGGCCAUAUUCCUGCCGAUGUCGAGGAAAUCCUCUUCCAAGCCGCACAUCUGGAGAGUCACCAGCUGCAGUACUAGAGGGCCUCCCGGCGCCUUGCCGAUAGAGCUGCUCAGACCUAGCUUUCUGAGGAGAUGAUGAAAGAGAAUCUCCUGACCAAUGAGAAGCACAAGAACAUCGGCACCUUGAGAUCUUCAGGAGAAGCGCUGAAGCAGAAGAUCUCUGACCUAUCGGCAAAAAGAGAAGCCCUGCUGGCAGAACUCAAGCAAGUGGAGGACGCCCUAUCCCAAGCCCAACAGGAAGAGGGCCAAUUGCCAGAGACCAUCAAGCUCCUUGAGCAAGAACGAAACGUCCACGGUCGCAAGGCAUUGCAGUUGAAGAAGAAGCUGAAGCCGAUAGAAGGUUCUGCCGAUGACGAUAUCAAAGAGAUAGAAGCAGCCAACCAAAUCUGGCUGCGCGCCAUAUCGGCGAUCCAGGCGCUGCUAAGCAUGUGAGUUCUUCAUCGGCAACACACCUGCCUCUUUCCGUUCUUCAGCUUUCUUGACGUUUGGUUUAGCCGAUAGGACUGUUAUCGGCAACUUUUGAAACAUUAAGUCCGGCCCCAGAUACAUUUUAAUCCAGCCGAUAGGAGUGUUAUCGGCAUUUAAAUCUUUAUGCAUCGACCCAUAUGCUGGGGUAGUACUUCUUUAAAUAUUUGCCAUUUAAUGCUCUAGGAAAUUCAACUCCUUCGAGAGUUUCUAAAAUGUAGGCGUUACCGGGAGCCGAUCGUCUUAUCCGAUAGGGACCCUCCCAAUUGGGAGACCGCUUUCCAAACUUCGAACUUUUAGUCCCGAUCGGUAAAAUCAAUUUCCAUACCAAGUCUCCAUCGGCAAACUCCUUAGUCUUUACUUUCUUGUCAUACCAUCUAGCAACUCUCUUUUUAUUUUCUUCUAUACUCAUCAAAGCCCUCAGCCGAUGCCCUGCUAGAUCAUCCAACUCGUCCGUCACCAAAGUAGCAUAAUCAUCGGCAGCCAAUUGAUCCUGAAAAGACAAUCGCCUAGAUCUAGCCUUAAUUUCCCAAGGUAACACUGCGUCAUGCCCAUACACCAACUGAUAAGGUGAAACUUUAGUCGAUCCAUGACAAGCCAUCCGGUAUGACCACAAGGCUUCAUUUAACAAUUUAUGCCACUUUCUAGGAUUCUCUUCAAUCUUUCGUUUGAUAAGCUUGAUAAUUCCCUUGUUAGACGCCUCGGCCUGCCCAUUAGCUUGAGCAUAAUAAGGAGAAGAGUUUAACACCUUAAUCCCCAUACCGAUUGCGAAUUCAUCAAAUUCUCCUGAUGUAAACAUAGUGCCUUGAUCGGUAGUAAUCGUUUGAGGAAUCCCAAAUCGGUAAAUAAUAUGCUCCUUUACAAAAUCAAUCAUAUUGGCCGAUGUGACUUUCUUCAAAGGAAUAGCUUUGACCCAUUUAGUGAAAUAAUCGGUGGCAACCAGAAUAAACUUAUGCCCUUUGCUAGAUGGCGGAUAAAUCUGGCCGAUUAGAUCAAUAGCCCAUCCCCGGAACGGCCAAGGUUUGAUAAUAGGAUUCAUGGCCGAUGCGGGUGCUCUUUGAAUAUUGCCAAACUUUUGACAUCCUUGACAUCCUUUGAAAUAUCUAAAGCAAUCUUCAAGUAUGGUCGGCCAGUAAUACCCAUUCCUCCUAAUCAUCCACUUCAUCUUGAAAGCCGACUGAUGUGCUCCACAUACUCCUUCGUGGUUUCUCCCAUCAAACUUCUAGCUUCAUCAUCACCCAAGCAUCGAAGAAGAACCCCAUCAAUAGUUUGGUAAUACAAUUUAUCUUCUAGGAGCACAUACUUAGUAGCUUGAAACCGAACCCACCUUUCAACUUUCUUAGAUGGAUCCUUCAAAUAAUCAAUGAUUUCUUUUCUCCAAUCAUUGGCACCAAUUGCCGAUAUCGCAUUGAUCAUAGGCUGAUAUCCUGAGGCAUGCUGAGCCAACCGAUUGGCCUCUUCAUUAUGCAAUCGAGGAACAUGCUCUAAUCGGAAAUCUUUGAAUUCCUUUAACAAUUGCAUACUCCUCUCAUAAUAAUUUAUGAGAACUUCACUUCGACAUUCAUAACUCCUAGCCAAUUGAUUUAUAACUAGCAUAGAAUCCCCGAAAACCUCAACGGCAUCAGCAUGGACUUCUCUCAACAACUCUAACCCCUUUAUCAAGGCUUGAUAUUCAGCUUGAUUAUUCGUCGACGUGGCAGCAAUCGGCAAGGAAAAUUCAUACUUCCUUCCUCGAGGGGAAACUAAUACUAUGCCGAUUCCUGCCCCCCGGUCACAUGUGGACCCAUCAAAGAAGAGCGUCCAAGGCACAAUUUCCAAAGUCUCCACUGUACCGCAAUGUUGAGUUACAAAAUUGGCCAUAAUCUGCCCUUUAACUGCCUUAGCCGAUUCGUAACGCAGAUCAAAUUCCGACAGCGCCAAAAUCCAUUUACCGAUCCUACCACUCAUAAUCGGCAUGGAUAACAUGUACCGGACCACAUCAUCCUUGCAAAUAACAGUGCAUUCGGCCGAUAACAAGUAGUGCCUUAACUUGAUACAAGAGAAAUAUAAACACAAGCACAGUUUCUCGAUAGCCGAAUACCUGGUCUCAGCAUCAAUCAACCUCCUGCUUAAAUAAUAAAUCACACGCUCCUUCCCUUCAAACUCUUGAAUUAAAGCCGAACCGAUGACCAUCCCAUCGGUAGACAAAUACAAUCUGAAGGGCUUCCCUUGCUGAGGUGGAAUUAGAACUGGAGGAUUUAUUAAAUAAUUCUUGAUUUCAUCUAGAGCCAACUGUUGUUCCUUUCCCCAAACAAACUCUUGAUUGGCCUUUAACUUAAGAAGAGGGCUGAAAGCACGAAUUUUAUCAGACAAGUUAGAUAUGAACCUUCUGAUAAAAUUUACCUUGCCGAUCAAGGAUUGGAGCUCGGUCUUGUUGGUAGGGGCUACUAUCUUAUUGAUGGCAUCAAUAGACCUUCGACUGAUUUCAAUUCCCCUUUGGUGCACCAUGAAACCAAGAAAUUGCCCUGCCGAUACACCAAAUGCACAUUUAUUGGGAUUCAUUUUCAAACCGUGCUUCCUUGUACAUUCCAACACCUUUCGUAAAUCGACAAGAUGCUUUGUGAAGUCCCCAGACUUGACCACCACAUCAUCAAUAUAAAUCUCUACCAGUUUGCCGAUGAACUCAUGAAAUAUAAAAUUCAUGGCCCUUUGAUAAGUAGCACUAGCAUUCUUUAGGCCAAAAGUCAUAACUAUCCACUCAAACAACCCAACAUGACCAGGGCACCUGAACGCGGACUUCGGAAUAUCUUCUUCAGCCAUGAAUAUUUGAUUGUACCCUGCAUUGCCAUCCAUGAAGCUAAUAAUCCGAUGCCCAGCUGCGGAGUCAACCAACAGAUCGGCAACUGGCAUUGGGUAUCCAUCCAUCGGCGUAGCUUUAUUAAGAUUCCUGAAAUCAAUGCAGACUCGAAGCUUCCCGUUCUUCUUGUAGACCGGAACAACAUUGGAAAUCCAUUCGGCAUACCGACACUGCCGAAUAAACUUGGCUUCAAUAAGUUUGGUUAUCUCAGCCUUAAUAUCAGGGAGAAUAUUAGGAUUACAUCGGCGAGCUGGCUACUGAUGUGGUCGAAAUCCAGACUUGAUAGGCAACCGAUGUUCAACAAUUGAUCGGUCUAAACCAGGCAUCUCAGUAUAAUCCCAAGCAAAGCAAUCUUUAUAUUCCUUUAACAAAUCAGUUAACUAUUGCUUACACUCAGAAUCUAACUUAGCACUAAUAAAAGUAGGUCUAGGUUUAUCACCACUACCUAUAUCUACUUCUACUAAAUCAUCGGCCGAUUUGAACCCCUGGCCUAACUUUCCAUCAUCGGCGAACCUAUCCAUUAAAAACCAUCCUCGGAACCGACUGCUUGGAUCGGUGGAAUUUCAUAAUCGGCAACCUUGAGAAAAUCCUUUUCCCAAACCUCUCCUGAAAUACACCUAGUCCUUUCAUAGGUGUCUGCCUCUGCCGAUGCAAUGACAUAAGAAGAAUCUCCUGGGACAACCUCAAUCUUGUCACCUACCCACUGGACCAAGCAUUGGUGCAUUGUAGACGGGAUGCAACAAUUAGCAUGAAUCCAAUCUCUCCCUAGCAGAAGAUUGUAAGCCCCUUUUCCACUGAUCACAAAGAAGGUUGUCGGCAAGGUUUUGCUGCCGAUGGUCAACUCCACACAUAUCGCCCCCUUGACCGGAGACACAUUCCCUUCAAAGUCUUUAAGCAUCAUAUCGGUCUUGGUUAGAUCCUGAUCCCCUUUCCCAAGCUUCCGAUACACUGCAUAUGGCAUGAUGUUGAUAGCAGCCCCGCCAUCUACUAGUAUCUUGGUCAUCGGUUGCCCAUCAACCCUUCCUUUGACAAACAGAGCCUUGAGAUGUUGCCUUUCAUCAUCGGCAGGCUUCUCCAAGAUAGCUGUCAUCGGAUCCAGAGCCAAUUGAGCUAUUUGGUCGGAGAACUCUAACUCAUCAUCACUGGAUGGCGCAAGGAACUCCAUCGGCAACAUAAAGACCAUGUUGACAUCUGCCGAUGGACCUUCCCCAUUGGGAUCCGAUUGCUGCUGAUCCCCAGACUGACCGGAGUUCUCGCCCUUGCUCAACCCUUCUCGUCUUUCACGCUGCAACCUCCUUUUAUGUGUCCUGGUCAACCCUUCUGGACACCAGGGAGGAAGCUGCUGUUGCCUUGCCGCUGGGCGACGAUCUCCCCUUGACUAUACCCGAUAAGUAUUGGCAUCCCUGCAAAAUAUGAACUCAUCGGGAACCCAUGCAUUAGCCAUUUCUUCGAGUUCUUCUUGGUUCCUGGGAAAAUAUUGAAUACGAUCACCAAGCCUGUCGUGCACGCUGAGCCUGCCCCCCAGCCGAUCGUGAAUAGACGCUCUUCCUCUGAUCGGCCCAUUAGAUCGCCGAUUGUCGUCGUGAUAGCGCCGAUCAGACCUACCAUACCGAUCAUAACCGUUGCACUCAGGGCAAUCUCUGACAGUAGGAAGCUUGAUAUUCUCUUCCCAGCAAUGAAUGAAGAACGGGCAAUUCCAGUGAUCCCUGUGCCGAUUCCAUUCUUGUCGGCGUCUUUCCUCUUCCCGACUAUAAUCCUCCUGCUGGCGCCGGUACCGAUCUUCACGUUGCUGCCAAUUCUCCCGAGGCCUUCUGUGGGUUAUAGCAAUGCCAGACCGGGGAGGCCUCCCUGAGCUGGUACCUUCCUGGACCAAGCCUCUUCCUCUCGCAUCGGCAGUAGUGACCUGAUGCUGAGGAUCCACCGAUGCACUUCUUUCGGCUGCUUCCGAUGUUAAGACCUUAGCCUUUCCCUUAGCAUCCAACAUAUUCGUUGGGAAAGGAUGUUGAUCGAUCUUCAUCGGCUUCUGGGUCUUGGAACUGUCAAAUUUGAUUCUCCCAGACUCUAUAGCCGACUGCAGCUGCUGUCUGAAAACCUUGCACUCAUUGGUAUCGUGAGAAGUUGCAUUGUGCCACUUGCAAUAUUUCAUCCUCUUCAACUCCUCAACCGAUGGGAUCACGUGAUUAGGAGACAGCUUGAUCUGACCUUCCUGAAGUAGAAAGUCAAAUAUCCUAUCGGCCUUAGCGGUGUCAAACGCGAACUUCUCUGGUUCUUUAUGUCCAAAAGGACAAGACAUCGGCUUCUUAUUUUUUACCCACUCUGCCAAGCCGAUGACUGGUUCCUCAUCAGAAUCUGAGCUUGUUGCUUCAUCAACAAACGAUACCUUUUUGUUCCAUGCUCUCUUGGGCUCGAAAGGCUUGAUAUCUUGAUCAGAAAUCCUCUGCACCAAAUGACUUAAGCUUUCAAACUCCUGAAAGGCAUACUUAUCCCUGAUGUGUGGCAACAAACCCUGGAAAGCCAAAUCGGCUAGCUGCCGAUCAUCCAGAACCAGACUAUAGCAUUUGUUCUUGACUUCCCAUAUCCUCUGCACAAAACUUUCAACCGAUUCAUCGUUGUGUUGCCUUAGUUUGACUAAAUCGGUGAUCUUCUUCUCAUGGACUCCAGAAAAGAAAUAUUUGUGGAAUUGUUUCUCCAGAUCGGCCCAAGUGAUCACUAAAUUGGGAGGCAACGAUAUAAACCAUGUGAAAGCCGAUCCAGACAACGAUGACGAGAAUAAGAGAACCCUCAACUUGUCCCUGUUACCAGCUUCUCCGCAUUGAAUGAUGAACCUGUUGACGUGCUUCAUGGUCGACGUGUCAUCCUGUCCAGAAAACUUAGUAAAAUCCGGUACCUUGUACCGAUGCGGAAGCGGGAUCAAAUCAUAUGCGGGAGGAUACGGUGUCCGAUAAGAGUAAGUAUUGACUUUGGGUUUUAUCCCAAAUUGGUCUCUCAUUACUUCAGCAAUCUUAUCAGCCCAGUACGCAUCGGCAUCUUGCCGAUGGGGGGCGGUUGCGGAUCUGGCACCUGCUGGUAAGCCUCUGUGUGUCGGUGUGGUGCACGAUCUGCAUGAAACAUUGGGUUAAUCAUCUGGCCUCCAAUCUGUGGACCACCAAGCUAUUGCCCACCAAUUUGCUGACCACCGACUUGCUGCCCGAGAUUCAUUGGCUGAUUAGGGAUCCCCUGAUUCUGGAACCCGGGAUAGACCUGUCCUUGCUGGAACCCUGUAGCCUAGUGAUUCUGUUAGGGCGUUUGCGGAAAGACUUGCUGCCCAAGCCAUCCAUUAUUAGCGUUCAUCGGCAUAGGCCCUGCCGAUGACUGGUAAUUGGGCAUGAUCAUUGAACUGACAUACCCUGGUUGAGUUGUAAACCUCUGUUGCAUCAGCAUUGAGUCUGCCGAUGCAUUAGGCAUCUAGAACAUUGGAGCUUGAGAAUUCCCAGUAUAAGGUCUUGCAGUAGUAGUUGUAGUAUACCGGGGAUUCUGGUUCACCGGCGCAUUGGGAGGUGCCGAUGCCAUAGGAGUCUUGCCUCUCAUGUCAGUUGUCUGCGAUGUACCCGGCGUUAACUCUAGAGGCAUACCAUAACCCCACCAGUUAGAAGGAAGAGUCAAUCCUGACAUUGCUGAUGCCAACAGAUCUGUAGCGAGUUUAAUCUGCCCAUCUGAAGUCUGUGGAUUAGUCGUCAUCGGUGUAGAUUGUGUAUUCGUGACUCCCAAUGUACUUGGCGGAACGGUGGUUUGUGAACCCGCAGCGGCUGUAGCAGCCGAUGGAGCUGUGACCACCGGUGACCCUGGCUGAUGAUAAGUGGGACCCACAUAAUCUGGUGGCAAUUGUCCUUCCUUGAAAGUUCUUGCCACGACAUUGAAAACUGUAUUAGACAGUACGCUAGCCUGGUUGAUCAAAGCACGGUUGAUAGCGCUGUCGACCAUCUCUUGAAGUUUGCCAGGAUUGGCUUCAAAAGUAAUCUGCCGAGGUGCCGGCAGUGCAUCCUUCUGAAUCACCUCACCGCUCCUGUUCAUGCUGAAGGACCUCAGGCACUGCAGCUUGUAGUCCUCCAUGGCUUUAGCAAUUGCUUGCUUCUGCUCAUCCUUGAGAUUGGCUUCCGUUACGGGGAUGACGUUCUCUUGAUCAAACUCAGAGGUCGACAUGUUGAUCUUGAUCUUGAAUCGGUCCCACCAGGCGUGCCAAAAGAUGUGUUGGUGCAAAAGCUGAUCUGCAAAUACAAAGGGCUAAUACCCGAUUCAAACGUUAAGGCGUGCCAUCUGAUUUGACCUUACUAUCGGCAAGGAAGGUAACUCGAAUACUUUGGUCCCGACAACAGCGAUGCGCCCGGAUGUCACGGCCAAGAGGUACUCACGCGGAACUCGAGAACACGUCGAGAUUAAGUCGACGAAUUCCUAAGAACUCGUAAUAAAAGGAAAAUAUGACGAAGUCGUUGAAAAAGUAGAUGCUGGAAUAUGAGUAAAAACUUGUGUUUGAUUGAUUGAUAGAUGUUUCAUUACAAGGCCCUAGGGUCUAUAUUUAUACCCUGCUUAAAGAGCUACAACCAGACACGACUAGAACUUGAAUUCCAAAUUACACAGAGUCCGUAUACAAAACGAUUUAAAUAACUAAGGAAAACAUAAAACUAUCCCCCCAUGACAAACUGGAACACCUCCACAGACCGAUUGGCAGCUUCCAGACUUCCUCUCUAUAUCAUCGGCAGACUACCUUACCAUAGUCAUCGGCAGACUUCCUUGUCAUAGCCAUCGGCACAGACACAUCACCACUUAUGGACUUAGUUACGUUCAACCAUCCUUCCAUCAGCAAUCAUCUCCAUCGGCAACUUUCCUCGCAGACCAAACACCAUCGCCUUAUCUUGCCGAUCUACACUUUACCGAUCACGGACACGUGCCCAAAAACGGUGUCAACAUCUUGGUACUUCUUGUCUUUGCCAAUUUGCCAGUUUGCUGAUACAACGAUAAAAGUUUCAUAAGUACAAGUGUAACAGAGUAUUGAUGGAAUUUUGGUUGAAACAGUGAAAGUUACCGAUGAAGUUCCCAUGGCAGCCGAUGUAUCCUGAAAGAGUUGUGUAAGUAUAGAAUGGAAUCGGUAUAAAUUGAAGAGAUAAAAACAUUCUACCUUGAAAGCUUGCACCAAAGCAGCAGCAGCGACCGAUGGAGAUGUCUUGGCCCGCUUGGUGGUGAUUUUCUUGAAACGCACACCUCGGUGCAUUAGAGCCGCCAAACUUGGUGCAUUGUUGCCGACCAAGGAGAUCGGGCCCGAUGGGAGGAGUUCGAUCGGCUUGCCACUUCUGCUAACUGAUGGUGGAGUAUCAUCGACCUGUGUAAAACAGAGGAAGUAAGUUGCCGAUAAAGAGCAAAAGUAAUAGGAUUGACGCAUCGGUUGAAAACUUACAGUGUUUUUGGGGACCUUGUACGCGGAGUCGAUCAUACCGCGGUAUGUAAGAGCCGAUCUGCAGAAAAAAUGCUCUUUCCACUUCGCCCACCAUUGUUUGUACGCCUGGGUGAUGAAGAGAGUUGGGAUCCAAGCUGAUAAGUCGAUAUCUGAUGUAUCAGCAUUUGGUGGGAGUUGAGCUAUUCUGAUCCACUUAAGACCACUGGUGAUGAUCUCCCUUGGUUUCACCACAUUGGCAUAGCAGAGCACGAUCGGCAGUUGUCCGAAGGCCAAUUGGCGAGCCAAUGCCGAUGGAUUGUAGAACUCAUAGGUAAGAUUGGAGGUUUUCCCACUACCAAAGAAGUUCACUGGUAUAGCUCUCGGGGUGGUGAUUGCCAUCAUCAGAUCAUGGUCCUUGUUGAGAGCAUUAUCAAAGGGAUGGAAAGUCAAGGGAAAUCUGGUGUCUGGGUCCUCAUAAGGCAUCCAUGCCCGCUGUUCUUUGGUCAGAACCUCAUAAAGAGUCUGAAAGAAUCGGCUAACCUGAUCUUCAUUACCACUGGUACCAGGUAGAACUAUGGCAGCUUCACCAUAGUUCAAAGGGGAGCGAGUUGCUGAUUCUUCUUCGUCCAGCUCAUGAUCUUCGGCUAUAUCUCUGGGGAAGCAUUGUGUGAAAAGGUUGAAUUCAAGGCGCUUAUGUACGUGAACACUAAGUCACAUGUUGAUGAACCACCAGGGUCCCCCUAAGUUGUCGAUGGGUUGGCAUAGCAGGAGUUUCUUAGCUACCUGGUGAAGGAGGUGAUAAACAGAGCCGAGCAGAUAUCGGCCAAGAGGAAAUCGGCCACCAUUGGCCAGUCUUUCUGCUGUCGAUAGAUAGACAGAAGUUGGUCCUGUCGAUCGGCCACAGAAUACAAACUUAUCCAGCCACAUAUUCAAGAAAAUAGCUUGUUCUCUUUCCUCGACAGGUCCUAUUUUUUGUAUUUCUAAAUAUACCCAGACCAACCGCCGAUAGCGCGAGUCUCUACCUUAGAAUUGGGCUUGGUAUCAAACAUAUGACUAUUAUCGGCAGUUGAUAUGUCUAAGCCAGUAAGCAUGAGUACAUCGGCAAGAGUGGGUGAAGCAGGGCCAUGGCCGAAUAAAAAAGCGUUGAGUGUGUGACCAAAAGUACGAGGCAGCUAUCAGCAGCGACUCGUUCCUCUCCAUAUCGGCAAUGGAUAAUCUGAUGCAUUGGUCUAGUUUCCGCUCACCCCAUUGGACUUCAUUUGAAUGGCUGACUCUUAGGAACCAGUCUUUCCAUCCCUUGGUAGGACUGGGCCAGGAACGAAAAGCAUCUUUCCAUAGAUCUAAGGAGAAGUUCUCGGCUCUGAAGGAGAUUCUAUUUGUCUCAGCAUUUAUCAGAUCGGUGGGAUCUGGAUUUCUUAACGGGCCGAGGCAUUGGAAAUGAGGUUGAUCGGUAGGAAUUACGAUCUUAUCGGCCAAAUCCUAAAGUGUUUUGAGGAUGAAGGAACAAAAAGUAACAAAAAAAGGGGGUCCUCAGUAAAAAGAAUCGCAGAUGAACAGGAGUACAGCAAAAAGUACAGAAAGGAGAUGGUAGGCUGACCUCAGGAACGACGAAGUUGAUGGCCAUUUCUUCCCAAGGAAGAGGAGAGAUUGAAGACUUCGAAGAUUGGUGGAGGAGGCCCUUGCUGGAGUUCUUGGAGUUCUCAGGCAAUGCCGCCGCCAGGAAGGUGGAUUUGAGGCUGUAGAAUGACAAGAUGGAGAAAGAGUACCGGAGAAGGAAGUAUUUAUAGGACAAAACGGGCAGGGGCAAAUCUGAUUUAUCUCUUUGCCGCAUCCGUGAAAUCCGAGGGUGUUCAGGUGAAUAUGGUAACUGUUUGCACGAUAAUCAAGGGAUUGCGCAGGUGAUUUGACAGCAAGCGGUCAUGAUUUUGAAGAUAUCUUACUGUGUAAGAUCGCCUGGUCAGUCCAUCGGCAGUUUUUUCUAAUGGUAAUAUUGCCGAUGAGCACAUUCUGGGGAGAUUCGGUUCGGGAAGUUGAGGAAUUCAAGGAAUCUGCAGGAGAAUCAGGCCGAGGUCGUUUAGAUUUGGUAAUUAAUUAUCAAUCAAGGGAAGUAAUUGCGGAAAGGUAUCAUUACUGAGGAGAAUUUCGGAGCAUUAAUGAUUUUAUACUCCGAAAUUGGGGGCCAUGUGUGGACACCGUUUUUGGACACGUAUCUUUGGGCACACGUCUGGAGUUAAUAAGAUGUAGAUCGGCAGGUGGAGGAAUGGUGACUAGUAUAUAGGGGAGUUGCCGAUGAAGGUGGUUGCCGAUGGGGAAACAACAAAAUAUGACCAAGUCUAGAAGUGGUGACGUAUUCGUGCCGAUGACCAGUGCCGGUGUUUGCCGAUGGUUGUAACACGUAGUCUGCUGAUGACCCUAAAGAAAAGCGCGGAGGUUGCCGAUUGAUUCAUGGCAGUGUCCCGAUCGGUUACGGGGGAUAGUUUAAUGUUUUCCUUAGUUAUUAGGAUUCGUUUUGUAUGCGGGUUCCGUUUAAUUUGGAAUUCGAGUCCUAGUUGUGUCUGGUUGUAGCUCUUUGGACAGGGUAUAAAUGUAGACCCUAGGGCAAUGUAAUGAAAAAUCUAUCAAUCUAUCAAACACAAGUUUUUACUCAUAUUCCAGCAUCUACUUUUUCGACGACUUCGUCAUAUUUUCUUUUUACUACGAGUUCUUAAGAAUUCGUCGAGUCAAUCUCGGCCUGUUCCCAAGUUCCGCGUGAGCACCUCUUGGCCGUGACAUCCGGGCGCAUCGCUGUUGUCGGGACCAAAGUGUUCGAGUUACCACCUUCGUCGAUUGUAAGGUCAAAUCGGCUGGCACGCCUUAACGUUUAAAUCGGGUAUUAGCCCUUUGUGUUUGCAGAUCAGCUUUUGCACCAACAUUAAUCUAAACAAUUGUGUUUAGCACAAACGAAUAGUCUUUGAUGCUAUUAGUAUUCCUAUGUUCCAAACACUCGUUUCUACAAAAUUCCUAUGUGUUUCCAAUCCUCUGUUUUACACCUCUAUUUCUUUCAUAUUCCUGUGUUUUCUUUCAUUCCUUUGUUUUGCAUUCCUUUUUUCCAAACAGGGCCUUAUCUUGUCUCACAUAUGUAAUCCCUUCUCCUUUCUACAGAAUUAAUCGGCGGCAUCGAAUGAAGUGCCUCAUGCUACAAAUCCUUCACCAAAUCAGUCUCGUUGUCCGUGAUGAUACUUGUAGUUGUUAAUGGUACUUUUAUUUGCACUUCUUAUGGUGAAUGAUGGAGCACUGGGAUUACUUGUGAACUUAUUGUGAUAUACUAUAACUUAUGUGAUGUUUGUGAUAUGUAUGUGAUGUCUGUGAUAUAUAUAUCAUGUUAGUGAUGUCUGCUAUGCAUAUUUUUUGUUUGUCUG
rnacentral:lncRNA from 1 species